ACACAAAAGAAGAGUACUAGAUACUGACUCAGAUGAACUUGUCAUUUCCUGGAAUCCAAGAUUCCACGUUGCUCAUGGAGGGCGUCAGCAAAGCCCAGCUCUACUAAAGGGAGCCCUCAACUGGGGUCUGGGCACCAGAUAGGUUCAGCCAGGGCAUUGCCUCUCAAAUGCGGAGAACUACACUUCCCAGAAUCCUGGAGUCUCCAGUGGACUACAUUUCCCAGACGAACUAGCGGCCAAUCCUGUUCCACCCUGCUCUGGCCUUGUAGACCUUUGGGGCCACUGAGUGUUCGCUGCUGCGUGCGCUUAUUCAAGGGUCUGAGAUCGGUCGCUGACUAGAUUCCCACGCCAGGCUGCUGGCGGACGGGGCGGUUUCGGAACCUCCAGCUUGCGGAGCCCUGCCCAGCGAGGUGUCGCCCCGGGUGCCCCAGGCCAGAGGAGAUCCACCUCCAGGAGACUGCACCUACUCUGGGGCAAGUGCCCAGAAAAAGGACAUGACUAUUGAGCAAAGAGAAGCAAAGUCCCAGGUAUGACUUUUCUUCAGGGAUAAAGUCUGACCUUUGGGUAACACCAUAGUAUUUACUGAAAUCAAGUCACUGAUGGGCGAGUAUAUGGGCUGUAACAACUCUUCCUCUCCUUCUUUUUUUCUGUCUAUGCCCUUUUUUUUCUCACAAACUUAAAGCAAAUUUAUAGAAUUGAGAUAUGUUUUCCUGUUCCCUUCAUGGGAGAAGAAAAUUAAUUGUGAAACAAUUAGGCUGACAGUCAUGUUUUCUGCCUAAAUAUGGCCAAAUACAUUAAGAAUUGAAAAUGAAAACCGAAAAUCAAUAAAGAGCCUACAGCAGGAACAGCCUAUUUGCACAUCUUAUGGUACCAAAUGACAAUAUGGAAAGGAAACUCCUGUGUUCCUUAUGACCUUUUACUGUUUUUAAGAACUAAGAAGCCUUCGUGGUUAGCCAGGCUCUUUCAUGCUUUGGCUUAAUUGUUCUUACAUAAUUUUAAAUGCACAUCAUAUCUACAGCAUGACAAUUAAUGGAUAGCCUAAGUACUUAUCAUUUCAAACUAGUUUAUAUACAGGAAAAGUUUAAAUAAACUAACAGAGAACUAUUUUACCUUUAUUUAUUUUUAUGUGGUGCUAAGGAUUGAACACCGUGCUAUAAAACAAGGUGCAAUAAAAUUUAUAUUUUAACAACAGUGACACAUAAUGAAAACAAGAUGCUAUCUUUUAUUUAUACAAUUUUCAAACAGAUAUUUCAUGGUUGCAAUAGUCCCCCAAUAAAAAAUGGUCAAACAUUAUAGAAAUAUCUUAAAAUAUUUAUAGAAAUAUCUUAAAAUAUUUAAAAUAUCCAACAUAGUUUGAACAUUGCUUUUAUUAUCAACUCUUAAGUAGAUAGAGCUCUUCAUUUUUGGAAUAAGAUUUAAAUCUCCCAAAAAACUCUUAGUAUGAAUGAAAUUAUGUGAUUAAACUGCAAGGUUUCUGUUACAUCUCCAGGAAGAUGGAGUCAGUGCUCACUGUACAUAAGACGGAAGAUAGAAAGAAUAUAAUCGAUUCUAUUUCUAUUUAAAUAUUCUUAAUACCACUGCCACUUUAGAUACGGAUCAUAUGUAAUGGCUCCUUGUUUUAUAAAUUCAAAUAAAUGUUUAAUUCAACCAUUUUAAGUAUAUUAUAAUAGCAGUAACAGUACAGCAAUAAACAGGUUUUACAAAAAUUAUGAUGAAGAUCAUGUAAAUAAAAACAAUCAAGGAUAUAUUUUCACUGAAGAACAUGUCAAACAAUUUAGCAAAAGCAAAAAUUAAACAAUUUUAGUGUUACAAGUUUAUGAACUUACAAAAUUAUUUAAUAUUUUUUUACAUUAUAAACAUUCAUAUUGAUAACAUUUUUGAGUAUCAAUCAUGCAUUUAUGACUACAGGUGGAAACCUUGGGGUGAUUGCAGGAUAAAUGAAAGUGUUAAAAGCACAGAGAAACUAAAACUACACAUAAGGAAUUGAUGUUUAACAAUGGCAGAGACACUUCAAACUGAAACUGAAUCUAUCCAUGCUGGAAAGAAUUUUGUUGAAAACUACUUCAACCACAAUAAAAAGCAGAGGGUUCUUCUUUAGAAGAGAUGGAAUUAAUGCAAUUAGAAGCUGAUAAAAUCUACGUAUUAUAUUCUGAAAUUGGAAAACUUAAGCAUAUUGCAAAUCCUCUUCAGUUCUUCACCAUCACAUUGUGUGCAUAUUAUUUAAAUGGUGCAAGAAAAACCUUGAGUCUGGGCUCACCAAAACUUGGGGGAAAACAGGGAAUGUUAAGGCCAAACGUUCCUUGAAAAUUGUUGGUCCACCAUUUCCACAAUACUCAUUUCAAUUGCAUUUUCCUGCUUCAUAUGAACUGAUGUUAAAAUGAAACAGAAGCUUGAAACUGAUACUGAAUCUGCCCAUUCAGGGAAGAAUUAUGUUAAAUGCUACUUCAAGCACAAAUCAGAGGGUUCUCCUUUAGAAGAGAGUAAAUUCUAGCAAGUUGAAGCUGCUAGCACAAAUGCUUCUGUUCUGUUCUUCCAAGGCUUACUCCGACAGCAAAUUCAAAGCAUAGUUUGGCUUUUCCCCAUCAUAGAGAUGGCAAAAUACUCAAAUUGGUCUAAGAAGAAAAAGUUGUUUGUUGGCACACCAAAUAUUGAGGGGAAAGAAGGCAGUAUGCAUUCAGUAAAGUUUCAUUGGAAUUCUUUCCUACAUCUUUCUCACAAUGUACCUUUCCAAUGCAUUUGCCCACUUCCUAUGAACUGAUGUUUAAUAAUGGCAUAGAAGCUUGAAAUUGAAACUAAAUCUGUCAGGGAUGGGAAGAGUUCUGACGAAUUCUACUUCAAGCACAAACAUCACAGAGAGUUCUUUAACCGAGUGAAUUGUGCAAAAAGAAGCUGUUAAAACGCGUGAAUUCUCUGCACUGGGAAGCUCUUCUAAGACAGCAUAUUCAAAGUGUGGUUUAGCCCUUAAACAUCACAUAGCAGGCACAUUAUUUAAAUGGUGGUAGCAAGAAAUACCAUGGGACAAGGCUCACCAAACCUUGAAGAAAUAGAGAGAAUGUUAAGGCAAUUCAUUCACCAAAUUUUCAUUGAACUUCAUUGGUCCACCAGUUCAUUUCAAUUGCAUUUUUUUUUUGCUCCCUAAAAACUGUAGCUUAAUAAUGGCACAGAUGUUUGAAUCUCAAACUAAAUCUGUUUAUACUGGGAAGAAUUCUGUUGAAUGUUUCUUAAACCAUAAGCAAAGCAGAAGGUUCUCCUUAAGAACAGAGUGAAUUCUAGCAAGUAGAAGCUGCAAUACAAACUAAUUCUGUUUGGGAUUUGCAAGCUCUACGCAGCCAGCACAUUCAAUGCAGACUUCAUUUUUGCUUCAUUGCUGUAAUGGUAAAAUAUCCAAAUUAGUCUAGGAAGAAAACAGUGUAUAUAGGCUCACUGAAAAUUGAGAGAAAAGAGGGAAGGAUGUGAAUAAGAUGCAUUCAGUAAAAUUUCAUUGAAAUUCUUUUCUACACCUUUCUCACAAUGUUCCAUUCCAGUGUAUUAAUCUUCCUCCUUUGAACAGAUGUUUAACAAUGGUACAAACUCUUGAAACUGAAACUGAAUCAGCCCUUGCAGGGAGAAUUCUUGUGAAUUUUACUUCAAGUGCAAACACAGCAGAGGUUCUUAUUUAGAAAAGAAUGAGUUCUAGCAGAUGAAGCUGCAAGCACAAACUGCUUCUCUUUUGUUCUUGCAGGCAAUAAUGAGCCAGCACAUUCAAAGCAGACAUCAGCCUUUUCUCAUCACAGUGAUGGCAAAAUAUUCAAACUGGUCUAGAAAAAAAAAAGUUGUAUGUAGGAUCAGCAAAUAUUGAGGGGAAAGAGAGAAGAAUGUAAACAGGAUGCAUUCAGAAAAUUUUCGUUGGAAUUCUCUCCUACAAAUUUCUCACAAUGUUAUUUUCCAAUGCAUUUGCCUGCUUCCUUCAAACUGAUGUUUAACAAUGGCACAGACCUUUCAAACUGAAACUGAAUCUGUCCAUGCUGGGAAGAGUUCUAUUUAAUGCAACUUCAAGCACAAAGUAGUAGUUUCUGCUUUUGAAUAGAUGAACUUAUGCAAGUAUGAGCUGUGAAAACACACAGAUUAUAUCAGCACUGGGAAGCUCUACUAAGCCAGCAUAUUGAAAGGGGGAUUCACCAUUCAACAUCACAUUGCAAGCACAUAACUUAAAUGGUGGUAGAAAAAAAAAAAAACUUUGGACAAGGUUCACUAAACUUUAUGGGGAACAAUGGAAUGUUAAGAGAAUUCCUCUCCAAUGUUUUCUUGACAUUUGUUGGUCCACCUUUUUCACAAUACUCACUUAAUUGCAGUUUCCUGUUUCCUAUGAACUGAUGUUUCAUAAUGGCACAGAUGCUUCAAACUGAAACUGAAUCUGCAUGUGCAGGGAAGAAUUCUAUUGAAUGCCACUUUAAGCACAAACCAAGCAGAGGUUGUCCUUUAAAACACAGUGAGUUCUAGCAAGUUGAAGUUGAUAGCACAAACUGCUUCUGUUUUGUUCCUGCAAGCUCUACUGAGCCAGCACACUUAAAGCAGACAUCAGCUUUUUACCAUUAUAGGGAUGGCAGAAUAUUCCAAUUGGUCUACAAAUGAAAAGUUGUAUAUAGGAUCACCAAACAUUGAGUGGAAGAGGAAAAAAAUGUAAACAGGAUUUAUUCAGUAAAGUUUCAAUGGAAUUCUCUCCUACAAUUUUCUCACAACAUUGUUUUCCAAUGCAUUUUCCUGUUUUCUUCAAACUGGUAUUUCACAAUGGCACAAAUGCUUGAAACUAAAUCUGAAUUUUUCCAUGCUGGAUAGAGUUCUGUUGGAUGCUACUUCAAGCACAAACAAAGGAGAGGUAUCUCCUUUAAAAACAAGUGAAUUUUUGUAAGUAGAAACUGUUAAAAUUCACAGAUUUCUUUUCUGAACUGGGAAGAUCUUCUAAACCAGCAUAUUCAAAGCAGAGUACGUCACAUUGAAGGCACAGAAUUUACAUGCUGGUAGCAAGAAAUACCUUGGAGUAGGCUCACUAAAACUUGAAGAAAAAACAAAAUUUUAUGUGGAUUCAUUCACCAAAGAUUCCUAGAAUUUUGAUGGGGUUCACCUUUUUAACAAUACCCACUUCAAUUGCAUUUGCCCGCUUCCUACAAACUGAUGUUCAAGAAUGGCACAUUCACUUGAAACUGAAACUGAAUUUGCUGAUGCUUGGAAGAGUUCUGUUGAAUGUUACUUCAAGCACAAACAAAGCAGAGGGUUCUCCUUUAGAACAGAUGAACUCAUGCAAGUACAAACUGUUAAAACACAUGAAUUAUUUUCUGCACUGGGAAAAUCAUCUAAGGCAGCAUAUUCAAAGCAGGGUUCAGCCAUGCAAACUCACUUUGCAAGCACAUUAUUUAAAUGAUGGUAGCAAGAAAAAUCAUGGAACUAGGCUUACAAAACUCUGUGGGGAAAAGGGAAUGUUACGGGGAGUCCUUCAAAAUUUUCUUUAAAUUUGUUGGUUUACAUUUUUCACAAUACUCCAUCUAAUUGCAGUUUCUGGAUUCCUAUGAAUUGAUGUUUAACAAUGGUACAGAUGCUUGAAACAGAAACUAAAUCUGCUCAUGCAUGGAAGAAUUCUGUUGAAUUCUACUUCAAGCCCAAAUAAAGCAAAAGGUUCUUUUUUUUAGAACAGAGUAAAUUAUAGCAACUUGAAGCUGCAAGAACAAAGUUCUUCUAUUGUCUUCUUGCAAUCUCUUCUCAGCACAAUCAAAGUAGACUUCAACCUUUCCUCAUCACAAUGAUAGCAAAAUAUUCAAAUUGAUUUAGGAAGAAAAAGUUGUAUGUAGGAUCAUAAAACAUUGAAAGGAGACACAGAAUAAUGUGAAUAAAAUGUAUUCAGAAAAGUUUCAUGAUUUUUUUUCCUACACUUUUCUCACAAUGUUUUGUUUCAAUGGAUUUGCCCAAUUCAUAGGAACUCAUGUUUAAUAAUGGCACAUGUGCUCAAACUGAAACUGAAUCUGUCUGUUCUGGGAAGAGUUUUAUUGAAUGCUACUUCAACCACAAACUAAGCAGAGGGUUGCCCUUUAGAACAGUGAACUAUUGCAAGUAGAAGCUUCUAAACAUGUAGAUUCUCUUCUAAGAGAAUGUUCUAAGCCAGCCUAUUCAAAUCAUGGUGCAGCCCUUCAGUAUCACAUGGCAGCCACACUAUUUAAAUGGAAGUAGCAAGAAAAACUUUGGGACUAGGCACACCAAAUUUUGGGGGAAAGAAGGAAUGCUAUGGGAUUCAUCCACCAAAGUUUCCUUGAAAUUUGAUUGUCCCCUUCUAUGCAAUACCCACUUCACUUGCAUUUUACUUCUUAUUCCGAACUGAUAUUUAACAAUGACAUGGAUUUUGAAACUGAAACUGAAUAGAUACAUGCAUAUUAUUCUGUUGAAUGCUACUUUAAGCACAUAGAAAGCACAGGGUCUCCUAUAAAACAAAGUGAAUUUUAGCAAGUUGCAGCUGCUAGCAAAAAUUGCUUCUGUUCUGUUCUGGCAACCUCUACUAAACCAGUACAUCCAAAGUAGUCUUUAGCCUUUACAGAUCACAGCAAUAGCAAAAUAUUAAAAUUGGCCUAGGAAGAAAAAUUUCUAUGUAGGAUCACCAAACAGUGAGAGAGAAGAUGGAAGAAUAUAAGUAGGGUGCUUUCAGUAAUGUUUCAUUAUAAUUCUUCCCUAUAACUUUCUAACAGUAUUUCUUUGCAAUGUAUUUGCCAGCUUCCUGUGAACUGAUGUUUAACAAUGGCACAAAAUGUGAACCUUAAACUGAAUCACCUAUGAUGAGUAGAGUUUGUUUGAAUACUACUUCAAUCACAAAGAAAACAGAGGGUUCUCAUUUAGGAAAAAAACUAAUUCAUGCAAGUAGGAAGUCUUAAAACAUGGGUUAUCUUCUGAACUAGGAAGGUCUUCUAACUAAGAAUAUUCAAAGCAGGGUUCAGCCUCAUAUUGAAAAGGUUCAAAAUCAUAUUGCAAGCACAAUAUUUAAAUAUUGGUAGCAAGAAAACCUUGAGACUAGGCUUACCAAAUCUUAUGGGUGAAGAGGGAAUGUUAUAGGAAUUCCUUCACCAAAGGUUCCUUCUAACUCAUUGAUCUACCAUAUUCAAAAUACUUCAAUUUUCAUUUCCUUCCUCUGAAAUAAUGUUUGACAAUGGCACAAUGCUUGAAACAGAAACUAAAUUUGCCCUUGCACAGAAGAAUACUGUUAAAUGCCAUUUCAAGCACAAAGAAAGCAGAGAGUUCUCCUUUAGAACAGGAUAAAUUAUAACAAGAGGAAGCUGCAAACACACAGUUCUUCUCUUCUGGUCUUGCAAACUCUACUCAGCCAGCACAUUCAAAGUAGACUUCAGCCUUUCCCCAUCACAGUGAUGGAAAAAUAUUCAAAUUGGUCUAGGAAGAAAAAGUUGUAUAUAGGAUCUCCAAACAUCCAAGAGAAAGUGGAAAUAAUAUGUAUAGGAUGCAUUGAGAAAAGUUUCAUUAAAAUCCUUUUUAAAACCUUUCUCACAACAUUCCUUUCCAAUGUAUUUGCUCACUUCAAAAGAGCUGAUGUUUAACAAUGGCAGAGAAGCUUGAACCUGGAUCUGAAUCUGCCCAUGCUGGGUAGAGUUUUGUUGAAGGCUACUUUAACCAAAAAAAAAAAAAAAGAGAGAGAGAGAGAGAGAGGAGGUUUUCCUUUAAAAGAUAUUCAAAUAAUGCAAUUAGAAUCUGUCAAAACCUAUGGAUUCUCUUCUUCACUGGAAAGUUCUUCUAAGCCAGCACAUUCAAAGCUCUGUUUAACCAUUCAACAUCCUAUUUCAGGUACAUUAUUUAAAUAGUGGUUGCAAGAUAAACAUUCAGUCAAGGCUCACCAAACUUCGUGGGGAACAUGGGGAUUCCUCACCAAAGUAUCCAUGGACCCACUUUUUCACAAUACUCACUUCAAUUGCACCUGCUUCAUACAAACUGAUGUUUAACAAUGACAGCGAUGCUUCAUAGUGAAACUGAAUCUGCACAUGCAGGGAAGAAUUCUGUUGAAUCCUACUUCAAGCACAAACCAAGCAGAGGUUCUCCUUUAAAACACAGUGAGAUCUAGCAAGUUGAAUUUGCUAGCACAAACUACUUGUGUUCUGUUCUUGCAAGCUCUGCUGAGCCAGCACAUUCAAAGCAGACAUCAGCCUUUUACCAUUAUAGGGAUGGCAGAAUAUUCCAAUUGGUCUAGGAAAUAAAAUUUGAAUAUAGUAGCACCAAAUAUUGAGUGGAAAGUGGAAAAAAUGUAAACAGGAUUUACUCAGUAAAGUUUCAAUGGAAUUCUGUCCUAAAAUUUUCUCACAAUGUUCUUUUCCAUUGCAUUUGCUUUGUUCCUUCAAACUGGUGUUUUACAAUGGCACAGACUCUUGAAACUAAAUCUGAAUCUGUUCAGGCUCAGUAGAAUUCUAUUAAAUGCUAUUUUAAGCAGCAACAAAGGAGAUACCUCUCAUUUACAAAGAAGUGAAUUCAUGCAGUAGAAGCUGCUAAAACACAACGAUUCUUUUCUGCCCUGGAAGCUCUUCUAAGCCAGAAUAUUCAAAGCAUGGUUUAGCCCUUCAACAUCACAUUGCAGGCACAUAACUUAAAUGGUGGUACCAAGAAAUACCUUGGAGUAGGCUCAAAAAACCUUGUGGGGAAAAUUUUUAUGUGGAUUUAUUCACUAAAGUUUUUGAGAAGUCUGAUGGUCCACCUUUCUAACAACACACACUUUAAUUAAAUUUUCCAGCUACCUACAAACUGAUGUUCAACAGUGUCACAGUUGUUUGAAACUGUCACUGAAUCUGAUGGUGCUGGAAAAAAAUUCUGUUGAAUGUUACUUCAAGCACAGGAUUCUCCUUUAGAACAGAUGAACUCAUGAAAGUACAAGUUGUUAAAACACAUGUAUUAUCUUCUGCACUUGGAAGCUCUUCUAAGCCACCAUAUUCAAAGCAGGGUUCAGCCAUGCAAACUCAUAUUGCAAGCACAUUAUUUAAAUGGUGGUAGCAAGAAAAACCUUGGGACUAGGGUCACCAAAACUUGUUGAGAAAGAGGGAAUGUUCUGUGGAUUCCUUCACCAAAGUAUCUUUGUAAUUCAUUGGUCCACCUUAUUCACAAUACUCACUUCACUUGUAGUUUCCAGCUUUCUAUUAAAUGAUGUUUACCAAUGGCACAGAUGCUUGAAACACAAACUAAAUCUGCCCAUGCAUGAAAUAAUUCUGUUGAAUGCUACUUGAAGCACAAACCAAGCAAAGAGUUCUCUUUUUAGAGCAGAGUAAAUUAUAGCAAGUUGAAGCAGCAAACACAAAAAACUUCUAUACUCUUCUUGCAAUCUCUGUGCAGCCAGCAUGUUCAAAGCAGUCUUCUGCCUUUCUCAAUCACAGUGAUGGCAACAUGAUCAAGUUGGUCUAGGAACAAAGCUUCAUAUGUAGGAUCUGCAAACAUCAAGGGGAAAGUGGGAAUAAUGUGAAUAAGAUGCAUUGAGAAAAGUUUCAUUAAAAUUAUUUUCUAAAUGAUUCUCACAACGUUCCAUUUCAAUGCAUUUGCCCACUUCAUAGACACUGAUUUUCAGGUGUCACAGAAGCUUGAAUAUGAAACUGAAUCUGCUGGGUAGACUUCUGUGAAUGUUACUUCAACCACAGAGAGAGGAGAGGGUUCUCAUUUAGAAUAGAUGGAAUUAUACAAUCAGAAGCUGCCAAAACCGCAGGUUCUUUUCUGCUCUGGGAAGGUCUUCUAAGCCAGCAUAUUCAAAGCUCUUUUCAGCCAUUCAACAUCCCAUUCCAGUCACAUUAUUUAAAUGGUGGUUGCAAGAAACACUUUGGGACUACACUCACCAAACUUGAGGGGAAACAGGGAACGUGAGAGGGAUCGAUUGGCCCAAGUUUGUGGGUCCACCUUCUUCAAAAUGAUCACUUCCCUUGCAUUUUGCUAAUUCUUUUGAAUUGAUGUUUUAACAGUGACAUAGAAGCUGGAAUCUGAAACUGAAUCUGCCCAUACUGCUGAGAUUUCUGUUGAAUACUACUCCAACUACAAAGAAAUUAGAGGAUUCUCUUUUUGAACAAAGUGAAUUAAAGCAAUUACAAGCUCCAAAAACACAGAGUCUCUUGUGCUGGGAAGCUCUUCUAAGUUAGUGUAUUUACAGUGCACUCUAAAGCCCUUCAAUAUCACAUUGCAGUCAUAUUGCUUACAUGGCCGUACCAAGAAAUACCUAAAAACUAGACUCACCACAAUAGGGAGGGAACAGAGGAAUAUUAUGGUGAUUGAUUCACCAAAGUUCCCUUGAUAUUUUUUGAUCCAUCUUUUUCACAAUGCUCACCUUAAUUGCAUUUUCUUGCUUCAUUUUAACUGAUGUUUAACACUGAAACACAUUUGAAAGUGAAAGUGAGUCUACACCUGCAAGGAAGAAUUCUGUUGAAUGAUACCUUAAGAACAUAAAACACAAACAGUUCUUCUUUAACACAGAGUCAAUUCUAGCAAGUUGAAUCUGCUAUCACAAACUGCUUCUGUUCUGUUCUGCCAAACUCUACUCAACCAGCACAUUCAAUAUAGUCUUCAGCCAUUUCACAUUAGACCAAUGGCAAAAUGUCUAGGAAGAAAAAGUUGUAUGUAGCAUCACAGAACACUGAGGGGAAAGAGGUAAGUAUGUCAAAAAAGAUGCAUUCAGUAAAGUUUAUUGGAAUUCUUUCCUACAACUUUCUCACAAUGUUUCUUUCCAAUACCUUGGCCCACGUUUUAUGAACUGAUAUUGACCAAUGGCACGGAAGCUUGAAACUGUGACUUAAUCUACCUGUUCUGGGAAAAGUUCUCUUGAAUUCUACUUCUAAACCAGCAUAUUAUUCAAAGCUCUUUUCAGCCAUUAUUUCACACUGUUCUAAAGGCUUUUCUUUUAGAACAGAGUGAAAUAAUGCAAGUAGAAGCAUAAAGAUUCUGUUCUGCACUGAGAAGCUCUUCUAAACCAGCAUAUUCAAAGCACAGUUCAGCCCUUCAACACCCCAUUACAGGCACAUAACUUAAAUUGUUUGUAGCAAGAAAUAUCUUGGGGUAGGCUCAACAAAAUUUGAGGAAAAAGAGAAACUUUUAUGUGGAUUAAUUCACCAAAGUGUCGUAGAAAUUUCUUGUUCCAUCUUUUUUACAAUACUUACUUCAAUUGUAUUUUCCUGUUUCCUACAUACUGAUGUUCAAAAAUUGCCCAGUCACUUGAAACUGAAACUCUAUCUUCUGCUAGUAGGAAGAGUUCUGUUGAAAGCUAUUUCAAGCAAUAACAAUCCACAGGGUUCUCCUUUAGAACAGAUGAAAACAUGCAAGUAUGAGCUGUUAAAACUUACGACUUACCUUCUACACUGGAAAAAUAUUCUAACCCAGCAUAUACAGAGCAGUGUUCAGCCAUUCAACAUCAUAUUGCAAGCACAUAAUUUAAAAGGUGGUAGCAAGAACAACAUUGGGACUAUGCUCACCAGUCCGUGGGGGAAAGAGGGAAUGUUAUGGGGAUUCCUUCACCAAGUUUACUUGUAAUUCAUUUGUUCACCCUUUUAACAAUUCUCACUUCAAUUGCAGUUUCCCACUUCCUAAAAACUGAUGUUCCAUAGUGACACAGUCAAUUGAAACUGAAACUUAAUCUGCAGGUGCUGGGAUGUCUUCUUUUUAAUGCUACUUCAACCACAAACAAAGCAGAGAGUUCUCCUUUAGAUAAGAGUAAAUUAUAGCAAGUUGAAGUGGCAAACACAAAGAGCUUCUUUACUCUUCCUGCAAUCUCUACUCAGCCAGCAAAUUCAAAGCAUUCUCUGCCUUUCUCAAUCACGGUGAUGGCAAAAGAUUCAAAUUGGACUGGGAAGAAAAGUUGUAUGUAGGAUGUCCAAACAUCCAGGGAAAAGUGUGAAUAAUGUGAAUAGGAUGCAUUGAGAAGUGGUUCAUUAAAAUUCUUUCAUAGAUAAUUCUCACAAUGUUCUUUUCCAAUGCAUUUGCCUACUUCCUAAGCACUGAUUUUCAGGUGUUACAGAAGCUUGAAUAUGACAGUGAAUGUGCCAGUGCUGGGUAGAGUUCUGUUUAAUGCUACUUCAACCACAGAGAAAGGAAAGAGUUCUCCUUUAGAAGAGAUGGAAUUAUACAAUUAGAAACCUCCAAAACCCAUGGAUUCUCUUCUACUCUGGAAAGGUCUUCUAAGCCAGCAAUAUUAAAGCUGUGUUCAGUGUUUCAACAUCUCAUUCAAGGCACAUUACAUUAAUGGUGGUUGCAAGAAAAACCUUGGGACUGGGUUUGCCAAACCUUGGAGGAAAACAGAGAAUGUGUCCACCUUCUUCGCAAUAAUCACUUCCCUUGAAUUUUGCCACUUCCUCCAGUUGAUGUUUAACAAUGACACAGAAGCUUGAAUCUGAAACAAAAUCUGCCCAUACUUCUAAGAGUUCUGUUGAAUGCUACUCCAACCAUAAACAAAGUAAAAGAUUCUCCUUUUAAACAGAGUGAAUUAAAGAAAUUAGAAGUUCAAAAACAAAAUGAUUCUCUUCUGUUGGGAAGCUCUUCCAAGACAGUAUAUUUACAAAGUGCUAUAUAGCCUUUCAACAUCACAUUGCAGGCACAUUACUUAAAUGGUGGUACCAAGAAAUUCGUAAAAACUAGACUCACCAAGAUGUGGAGAGAAUGGAGGAAUAUUAUGAGAAUUGAUUCAGCAAUGUUUCCUUGAUAUUUUUUGGUCCAACUUUUUCACAAUGCUCACCUUAAUUGCAUUUUCCUGCUUCAUAAUAUGUGAUGUUUAACACUGAAACAGACAUUUGAAAGUGAAAGUUAGUCACUCAUGCAAGGAAGAAUUCUGAUGAAUCCUACCUCAAGUACGUACAACACUGAGGGUUCUUCUUUAAAACAGAGUCAAUUCUAGCAAGUUGAAUCUGCUAUCACAGACUGCUCCUGUUCUGUUUUGGCAAGGUCUAUUCAAUCAGCUCAUUCAAUAUAGUCUUCAAAAAUUUCACAUCAGAGCAAUAGCAAAAUAGUCAAAUUGGUCUAGAAAGAAAGUUGUAUGUAGGGUCACAGAACAUUGAGGGGAAAGAUCUAAGUAUGUCAAAAGGAUAUAUUCAGUAAAGUUUAUUGGAAUUAUUUCCUACAACUCUCUCAUAAUGUUUCUUUCCAAUACAUUGGCCCACUUUCUGGGAACUGAUAUUGAUCAAUGGCACAGAAGCUUGAAACUGUGACUGAAUCUGCCUGGGCUGGGAAGAGUUCUCUUAAAUGCUACUUCAGUCACAAAGAAAGCAGAGGUUUCUGCUUAGAACAGAUUUAAUUAGUGCAAGUAGAAGCUAUUAAAACAUACAGAUUCAUUUCUGCACUGAGGAGAUCUUCUAAGUUAUCAUGUUCAAAGCAAAGUUCAGCCCUUCAAUACGUCAUUGCAGGCACAUAACUUAAAUGUUGGUAGCAAGAAAUACCUUGGGGUAGGCUCACCAAAACUUGAGAAAGAAGAGAAAUUUUUAAGUAGAUUCAUUCACAAAUGUGUCCUAGAAAUUUCUUGCUUCAUUUUUUUUACAAAACUUACUUGAAUUUCAUUUUCCACUUCUUACAGACUGAUGUUCAACAAUUGUCAAGUCACUUGAAACUGAAACUAUAUCUACUAUUGGUGGGAAGAGUUCUGUUGAAUGUGACUUCAUGUACAAACAAUCCAGAGGGUUCUCCUUUAGAACAGAUGAACACAUGCAACUAGGAGCUGUUAAAACUCAUGACUUAUCUUCUACAUUAUAAAAGUCUUCUAACCCAGCAUAUACAGAGAAGUGUUCAGCCAUUCAACAUCAUAUUGCAAGCAUCAAUUUAAUUGGUAGUAGCAAAAAGAACCUUGGACUAGGCUCACCAGUCCUUGUGGGGUAAGAGGGAAUGUUAUUGGGAUUCCUUCACCAAAAUUCCUAGUAAUUCAUUUCUCCACCUUAUUCAAAAUGCUCACUUCAAUUGCAAUUUUCUAUUUCUUACAAACUAAUGUUCCACAGUGACACAGUCACUUGAAACUGAAUCUGCUGGUGCUGGGAAAUCUUCCUUUUAAUGCUACUUCAAGCACAAACCAAGCAGAGAGUUCUCCUUUAAGGCAGAUGCACUCAGGCAAGUACAAGCUGUUAAAACACACAAAUUAUCUUCUGUACUGAGAAGCUCAUCCAAGUCAUCAUAUUCAAAGAAGGGUUCAGCCAUUCAAAAUCACAUUGCAAGAUCAUUAUUUAAAUAGUGGUGGCAAGAAAAACAUUGGGACUAGGCUCCCAAAUUGUUAUGGGGGAAAAGGGAAUAGUUUGGGGAUUCCUUCACCAAAUUGUUUUGUAAUUACUGCUCCACCUUAUUCACAAUAUUCAUUUCAAUUGUACUGUCCCACUUCCUAUGAAAUGAUGUUUAACAAUGGCACAGAUGCUUGAAAAUGAAAGUGAAACUGUACAUGCAAUGAAGAAUUCUGUUGGAUGCUAGUUCAAGCACAAACCCAGCGGAGGUUAUCCUUGAAAAAAUACUGAGUACAAUGAAGUUGAAUCUCCUAGCAAAAACUGCUUCUGUUCCAUUCUUGCAAGCUCUACUUAGCCAGGACAUUCUUAGCAGACAUCAGCCUUUUACCAUCACAGCAAUGGAAGAAUAUUCAAAUUGUUCUAGGAAAGAAAAGUUGUAUGUAGGUUCACCAAACAGAGAGAGGAAAGUGGGAAUAAUGUGAAUAGGAUGCAUUGAGAAAAGUUUCAUUAAAAUUCAUCUUUUCUAAACCUUUCUCACAAUAUUCCUUUCCAAUGCAAUUGCCCACUUCUUAUAAACUGAUGUUUAACAACUGCACAGAAUCUUAAACCUGAAACUGAAUUUGCCAGUACUGGGUAGAGUUUCAUUGAAUGCUACUUCCACUACAAAGAAAUAAAACAGUUCUCCUUCAAAAGAGAUGGCAUUAGUGCAAUUAGAAGAUGCCAAAGCUCACAGAUUCUCUUUUGCACUUCAAAGUCUUCUAAUCCAAAAUAUUCAAAGCAUUUUUCAGCCAUUCAAUAUGAUAUUGCAAGCACAAUACUUAAAAGGUGGUAGCUAGAUAAACCUUGGGAUUAUGCUCACCAAAGGUUGUGGGGAAAGAGGGAAUAUGAUGAAGAUUCUUCACCAAUGUUUGUUUGUAAUUCAUUGGUUUACUUUAUUCACAAUACUCACUUCAAUUGUAGUUUCCUGCUUCCUAUGAAAUGAUGUUUAACAAAUGCACAGUUGAUUGAAACACUAAAUCUGCCCAUGCACAAAAGAAUCCUGUUGAAUGCUACUUGAAGCACAAACCAAGCAAAGUGUUCUCUUUUACAGCAGAGUAAAUUAUACCAAGUUGAAGCUGCAAGACAUUGAGCUUUUUUACAAUCUCUACUUAGCCUGCACAUUCAAAGCACUCUUCUGCCUUUCUCAAUAACAGUGAUGGCAAAAUAUUCAAAGAGGUCUAGGAAGAAAAGUUGUAUGAAGGAUCUCCAAACAUCCCGGGAAAAGUGGGAGUAAUGUGAAUAGGAUUCACUGAGAAGAGUUUCAUUAAAUUUUUUUCCUAAAUGUUCUCACAAUAUUCCUUUCCAAUACAUUUGCCCACUUCAUAGGCACUUAUUUUCAGGUAUCACAGAAGUUUGAACCUGAACCUGAAUCUGUUUAUACUGGCUAGAGUUGUGUUGAAUGCUACUUCAACCACAGAGAAAGAGGGUUCUCCUUUAGAAGAAACAGAAUUAUACAAUUAGAAGCCACCAAAAGCAUGGAUUCUCUUCUGCUUUGGGAAGGUCUUCUAAGCCAGCAUAAUCAAAGCUCUGUUCAACCAUUCAACCUCUCAUUCCAGGCACAUUAUUUAAAUGGUGGUUGCAAGAAACACUUUGGGACUAGGCUCACCAAAACUUGGUGAUAACAGGGAAUGUCAGAGGGAUUCAUUGACCCAAGUUUCCUUAAAUUUUGUGGGUUCACAUUCUUUGCAAUACUCACUUCCCUUGCAUUUUGACACUUUCUUUGUAUUGAUGUUUAGCAAUGACAUAGAGGCUUGAAUCUGAAACUGAAUUUCCCAUGCUGCUAGGAGUCCUGUUGAUUGGUACUCCAACCACAAACAAAGAAGAGGAUUCUUCUUUUGAACAGAGUGAAUUAAAGCAAUUAGAAUCUCCAAGAACACAAAGAUACUCUUCUGUUGGGAAACUCUUCUAAGCCAGCAUAUUUACAAAUGACUGUAUAGUCCUUCAAUGUGACAUCGCAGGCACAUUAACAAAAUGCUGGUACCAAGAAAUACCUAAAAACUAGAUUCAACAAAUUGUGGAGGGAAUGGAGGAAUGUUAUGGGGAUUGAUUCACCCAAGUUCCCUUGAUAUUUUUUAUCCACCUUUUUCACAAUGAUCUCUUUAAUUGCAUUCUCUGGCUUCAUAAUAACUGUUGUUUAACACUGAAAUAGAUAUUUGAAAGUUAAAGAGAGUCUACACAUGAAUGGAAGAAUUAUGUUGAAUCCUAUUUCAAGCACAUACAACACAGAGGGUUCUUCUUUAAAACAGAGUGAAUUUUAUGAAGUUAAAUACACUAUCACAAACCACUUUUUUUCUUAUUCUUUCAAGCUCUACUCAACCAGCACAUUCAAUAUAGUCUUCAGCCAUAUCACAUCAGAAUAAUAACAAAAUAUUCAAAUUUGUCUAGGAAUAAAAAGUUGUAUGUAGGGUCACAGAACAUUGAGGGGCAAGAGGUAAGUAUUUCAAAAGGAUGCAUUCAGUAAAAUUUGUUGGAAUUCUUUCCUAUGACUUUCUCACAAUGUUUCUUUCCAAUAUAUUUGCCCGACCCUGCUAACUGAUUUUACAAAUGGCACAGAAGUUUGAAAUUGUGACUGAAUCUACCUGUUCUGGGAAGAGUUCUUUUGAAUGCUACUUCAACCACAAAGCAGAGGGUUCUCCUUUAGAACAGUGUGAAUUAAUGGGAUCCAAGAUGGCAGAGUAGAGGAGACACUGUUUCUGGCUGUUAUUUGCAUGAAUCCAUGAAAGCUAUCAUGCAGCUUCUCCACAGGCUCGCCUUGAUGGAACACAACAUCUCAGAGCCUGUGACAGGACCCCAUGCAGCAGAUUUUCACAGAAU